GGGAAUGCAGCGCAAAGUAGGUGGUAAAUUCCAUCUAAAGCUAAAUAUUGGUGCGAGACCGAUAGCGAACAAGUACCGUGAGGGAAAGAUGAAAAGAACUUUGAAAAGAGAGUUAAAGAGUACCUGAAACUGCUGAAAGGGAACCGAAUCGUUUCCAGUGUCUAUAAUCCGUGGUAUAUUUCAUUGGCGAGUGUGUGCGUGCGUGUGCUGUGGCAGCGGCUUUUUUGGCUGCGCUCGGCGUGUGUGCUGUGUGUGCUUGCUGGUGCCCUGUGCUGCGGUGGGACGUCAAGGUCAGUUCGUAUGCUGCGGGAAAUGGCCGCCGAGGAGGU